rnacentral:rRNA from 1 species
AUUGAACGCUGGCGGCAUGCCUUACACAUGCAAGUCGAACGGCAGCACGGGAGCAAUCCUGGUGGCGAGUGGCGAACGGGUGAGUAUUAUAUCGGAACGUGCCCAGUCGUGGGGGAUAACGUAGCGAAAGCUACGCUAAUACCGCAUACGAUCUAUGGAUGAAAGCGGGGGAUCGCAAGACCUCGCGCGAUUGGAGCGGCCGAUAUCAGAUUAGGUGGUUGGUGGGGUAAAGGCUCACCAAGCCGACGAUCUGUAGCUGGUCUGAGAGGACGACCAGCCACACUGGGACUGAGACACGGCCCAGACUCCUACGGGAGGCAGCAGUGGGGAAUUGUGGACAAUGAGCGCAAGCCUGAUCCAGCAAUGCCGCGUGCAGGAUGAAGGCCUUCGGGUUGUAAACUGCUUUUGUACGGAGCGAAAAGGCUCUCUCUAAUACAGGGGGCUCAUGACGGUACCGUAAGAAUAAGCACCGGCUAACUACGUGCCAGCAGCCGCCGUAA